rnacentral:rRNA from 1 species
AUUCCAGCUCCAAUAGCGUAUAUUAAAGUUGUUGCAGUUAAAAAGCUCGUAGUUGGAUUUCUGGCAGGAGUGACCGGUCACACACUCUGUGUGUGAACUCGCGUUGUCUCUGGCCAUCCUUGGGGAGAUCCUGUUUGGCAUUAAGUUGUCGGGCAGGGGAUACCCAUCGUUUACUGUGAAAAAAUUAGAGUGUUUAAAGCAGGCUUAUGCCGUUGAAUAUAUUAGCAUGGAAUAAUAAGAUAGGACUUCGGAACUAUUUUGUUGGUUUGCGUUACGAAGUAAUGAUUAAUAGGGACAGUUGGGGGUAUUCGUAUUUCGUUGUCAGAGGUGAAAUUCUUGGAUUUCCGAAAGACGAACUACUGCGAAAGCAUUUACCAAGGAUGUUUUCAUCG